GUGCCAGCCGCCGCGGUAAUACGUAGGGUGCGAGCGUUGUCCGGAAUUAUUGGGCGUAAAGAGCUCGUAGGCGGCUUGUCGCGUCGGGUGUGAAAGACCGGGGCUUAACCCUGGUUCUGCAUCCGAUACGGGCAGGCUAGAGUUCGGUAGGGGAGAUCGGAAUUCCUGGUGUAGCGGUGAAAUGCGCAGAUAUCAGGAGGAACACCGGUGGCGAAGGCGGAUCUCUGGGCCGAUACUGACGCUGAGGAGCGAAAGCGUGGGGAGCGAACAGGAUUAGAUACCCUCGUAGUCC
rnacentral:rRNA from 1 species